GAAGAGCCUUUUCAGCGAUCUUGUGCAUCCUGCCAUUGCAUACUUUAAAGCAUUCAUCAAGAGAAACAGAUUGUGCUAGGUCAUGGAUCAUAUUGUGCAUGAAGUAGCUUUCCUCAACUCGUUGGAAGAAUGAUCUACACAACAGAUUGUUAAAACAUUCGCUUCCAACAUCUUCAAUUGGUCUUCUUCCCUGAGGUCGAAUGAAGCCGUGUGCUAUCCACAUUUGGAUCAACUUGGAUUUCUCGAAUUUAUGUUCUUUUGGAAACAAGGAGCAAUAUGCGAAACACUGCUUCAGAUGUGCAGGUAGUUGCUGAUAGCUCAAUCUUAGAGCUGACAUUAUGUUUUUCGCAUUGUGCGGUGGCAGCUCGCAUAUCUCGCUCUCCAAGAUGGUUCUCCAGCUGUCUUCAUCUGCUUUGGAAUACAGGAGGCCUCCCAGUAUCUUUGCAGCUAGAGUGUCCUCGACGACGGAAAGGAUCUUCAGCAGCGUGCGGCGCAGCCGGUUCAGCUCGUGCUCGACGCCCCACAGCGAUCCAAACUCCUGCAGCGUGGGGGAAGCCAACUUGUCGAACAACACCUGAAGCGAGGCGGAUAGGAAUGCUCCACCGACCGUGAGUGCCGCUGCCAUCUUCCUCUCCAGCUCCUACGGCCUCUCCAACCAAGAGAAUCCCUCCGGCCUAUGAUGGUCUUCAUGCGGACAUAUGCCGCCGCCGUUGACCUUGACUUGCGCUGGGACCAAACAAGGAUUCACCUCCCUUCGCGCCAAGCAGCCGUUGGAUCAUCCACCGCACAGAUCUCAAAGCGCAUGCGGGUUGGUGGCCUGUUUUCUUUCUAUUGCCAGCCUUGACGCAUUCCAUGGCGAGCGUUCGCCGGCAUAUUUCUAUUUCAGUAUUUUGGGGGCGUCUCGCAUAUAUUUUAAUUGCUAGGGAAAUAUUAAGGGCAGACUUCUUUUGAUUUUGAGUAAGAUUUCCUUACCCCUCUAGUGAAUGGA